GAUGUCAAGACGGCCGUUACACACACGCCCAAAGACA
rnacentral:tRNA from 1 species